ACGGGUGAGUAAUAUAUCGGAACGUGCCCUGGAGUGGGGGAUAACUAGUCGAAAGAUUAGCUAAUACCGCAUACGAUCUAUGGAUGAAAGUGGGGGAUCGCAAGACCUCAUGCUCCUGGAGCGGCCGAUAUCUGAUUAGCUAGUUGGUGGGGUAAAAGCCUACCAAGGCCACGAUCAGUAGCUGGUCUGAGAGGACGACCAGCCACACUGGGACUGAGACACGGCCCAGACUCCUACGGGAGGCAGCAGUGGGGAAUUUUGGACAAUGGGGCAACCCUGAUCCAGCAAUGCCGCGUGUGUGAAGAAGGCCUUCGGGUUGUAAAGCACUUUUGUCAGGAACGAAACGGUCUGGGCUAAUACCUCGGACUAAUGACGGUACCUGAAGAAUAAGCACCGGCUAACUACGUGCCAGCAGCCGCGGUAAUACGUAGGGUGCAAGCGUUAAUCGGAAUUACUGGGCGUAAAGCGUGCGCAGGCGGUUGUGCAAGACAGAUGUGAAAUCCCCGGGCUUAACCUGGGAACUGCAUUUGUGACUGCACGGCUAGAGUGUGUCAGAGGGGGGUAGAAUUCCACGUGUAGCAGUG
rnacentral:rRNA from 1 species